UACGGGGGGAGCAAGCGUUGUUCGGAUUUACUGGGCGUAAAGGGCGCGUAGGCGGCCACCGCAAGUCAGUUGUGAAAUCUCUGGGCUUAACCCAGAAAGGUCAGCCGAUACUGCGGGGCUAGAGUGCAGAAGGGGCAACUGGAAUUCUCGGUGUAGCGGUGAAAUGCGUAGAUAUCGAGAGGAACACCUGCGGCGAAGGCGGGUUGCUGGGCUGACACUGACGCUGAGGCGCGAAAGCUAGGGGAGCGAACGGG
rnacentral:rRNA from 1 species